AGGAAUAAGUAUUUGUCCCACAUCGGUUAAGAAUUCCGUUUAGGUGAAGUAUAUAUAUGUUUACAUACGGAACAAUUGAUUGUGUUCGUAGAAAGGAGAGAUGGUUGGCAUCUCCUCUGACAGAGACGGGAUUUGACCUUCGGGUCUUUGAACACAUCCGGUUAAGGCUCUCCACAUUCGUGUGGAUCUAAACCCAAUUUUUUUGGGC